UUGGAGGGCAAGUCUGGUGCCAGCAGCCGCGGCAAUUCCAGCUCCAAUAGCGUAUAUUAAAGUUGUUGCAGUUAAAAAGCUCGUAGUUGAAUUUCGGGAUCAAUUUAUCGGUCGUGCCAAUGGUAUGAACUGGUACAAUUGGUUUCUCCCUUCUGACGAAGCAUGAUGUCAUUAAUUUGGUGUCGUGGGGAAUCAGGACUGUUACUUUGAAAAAAUUAGAGUGUUUAAAGCAAGCAUUAGCUUGAAUACAUUAGCAUGGAAUAAUGAAAUAGGACGUUUGAUCCUAUUUCGUUGGUUUCUAGGAUCGACGUAAUGAUUAAUAGGGAUAGUUGGGGGCAUUAGUAUUCAAUUGUCAGAGGUGAAAUUCUUGGAUUUAUUGAAGACUAACUACUGCGAAAGCAUUUGCCAAGGAUGUUUUCAUUAAUCAAGAGCGAAAGUUAGGGGAUCGAAGACGAUCAGAUACCGUCGUAGUCUUAACCAUAAACUAUGCCGACUAGGGAUCGGAUGAUGUUAAUUUUUUAAUGACUCAUUCGGCGCCUUACGGGAAAC
rnacentral:rRNA from 1 species